rnacentral:lncRNA from 1 species
UAUAAAAGGUUAAACUAACUAAGAAAGAAAAUUCGAAAAUAAACUAUGCGUAUGACUACAGAGUCUCUAGGCAUCCCCUUCGUCGUCCUCCUGCGGAACGGGCUCGGGAACCAUGUCUUCCUGAUCUGAAAUGGUUAAUUAAGGAGUGAGCUACACUAGCCCAGUAAGAACAUCACGAUAUCUCACCGUCACGGAGAUAAAGGUGGGUAGAAAACCACAAAAAGACCAAUGGAGCAUAAUUUACAAUAAAC